rnacentral:lncRNA from 1 species
UGAAGAAUUGAAGAAGAAAUCAGGCGUCCACCUGGAGAAUGAGGAUGAAGAAUCAAAAAGGAAAAGUCAGGCGUCCACCUGGAGAAUGAGGAUGAAGAAUCAAAAGGAAAGUCAGGCGUCCACUUGGAGAAUGAGGAUGAAGAAUCAAAAAGGAAAAGUCAGGCGUCCACCUAGAGAAUAAGGAUGAAAAAUUGAAGAAGAAAUAAGGCGUCCACCUGGAGAAUGAGGAUGAAGAAUUUAAGAAGUCAGGCGCCCACCUGGAGAAUAAGGGAAUACAAUUGAAGCAACAGAAGUAAGGCGCCCACCUGGAGAACAAGGGAACAUAAUUGAAGUAUUGAAAUCAAAAGCCCGCUCAUAUGAGAAAGGAGCACACUUAGAGUCAAUAAAGCAGUGGAGUCCAACAAAAUCCCCAGCAGGAAAAACAAGAGUCCCAAACAGAGAAAGGAAAUACGAGACACAAUGAAAGGAAAUGCAGAAUAAGCAAAAUGCCCAAGAGUCGUCAAGAUAUCAAGACAACAAGAAACGCAAGGGCAUGAUCUAGAUAAGAUUUUAUAAUUCAUGAACCAUAGUCUGAUUUAGCUUUUUGUUUUACCUUUAAAGCAAGGUGUAAUAAGGAGGUCAGCAAGCAGUAAAAGUAGCACGAAACAGCAGUAACUUCAUAGUCCCACGGUAGUCCCAGCUACCCAAAACUUCCCGAACUACAUUGACCUGAUUCCUUUAUAGCCAAGGAUAUAUAGGAAACCUUUGAAGCAGAGGUUCGGUCAAAUCUUUCAAAAAAAUGCUUCCCACGGAGUAUUUGAACGGACA